rnacentral:rRNA from 1 species
CGGGUGGUAAUGCCGGAUGUUCCACAUGAUCGCAUGUGAUUGUGGGAAAGAUUUCAUCGGCGUGGGAUGGGGUCGCGUCCUAUCAGCUUGUUGGUGAGGUAACGGCUCACCAAGGCUUCGACGGGUAGCCGGCCUGAGAGGGCGACCGGCCACAUUGGGACUGAGAUACGGCCCAGACUCCUACGGGAGGCAGCAGUGGGGAAUAUUGCACAAUGGGCGCAAGCCUGAUGCAGCGACGCCGCGUGAGGGAUGGAGGCCUUCGGGUUGUAAACCUCUUUUGUUUGGGAGCAAGCCUUCGGGUGAGUGUACCUUUCGAAUAAGCGCCGGCUAACUACGUGCCAGCAGCCGCGGUAAUACGUAGGGCGCAAGCGUUAUCCGGAUUUAUUGGGCGUAAAGGGCUCGUAGGCGGCUCGUCGCGUCCGGUGUGAAAGUCCAUCGCUUAACGGUGGAUCUGCGCCGGGUACGGGCGGGCUGGAGUGCGGUAGGGGAGACUGGAAUUCCCGGUGUAACGGUGGAAUGUGUAGAUAUCGGGA